rnacentral:rRNA from 1 species
GACUGCUAUCGGAUUGAUACUAAGCCAUGCGAGUCGUUGUAGCAAUACAAGGCAUACGGCUCAGUAACGCGUAGUCAACCUAACCUAUGGACGGGAAUAACCUCGGGAAACUGAGAAUAAUGCCCGAUAGAACAUUAUGCCUGGAAUGGUUUAUGUUCCAAAUGAUUUAUCGCCAUAGGAUGGGACUGCGGCCUAUCAGUUUGUUGGUGAGGUAAUGGCCCACCAAGACUAUUACAGGUACGGGCUCUGAGAGGAGUAGCCCGGAGAUGGGUACUGAGACACGGACCCAGGCCCUAUGGGGCGCAGCAGGCGAGAAAACUUUGCAAUGUGCGAAAGCACGACAAGGUUAAUCCGAGUGAUUUCUGCUAAAGAGAUCUUUUGUUAGUCCUAGAAACACUAACGAAUAAGGGGUGGGCAAGUUCUGGUGUCAGCCGCCGCGGUAAAACCAGCACCUCAAGUGGUCAGGAUGAUUAUUGGGCCUAAAGCAUCCGUAGCCGGCUCUGUAAGUUUUCGGUUAAAUCUGUACGCUCAACGUACAGGCUGCCGGAAAUACUGCAGAACUAGGGAGUGGGAGAGGUAGACGGUACUCGGUAGGAAGUGGUAAAAUGCUUUGAUCUAUCGAUGACCACCUGUGGCGAAGGCGGUCUACCAGAACAUGUCCGACGGUGAGGGAUGAAAGCUGGGGGAGCAAACCGGAUUAGAUACCCGGGUAGUCCCAGCUGUAAACUAUGCAAACUCAGUGAUGCAUUGGCUUGUGGCCAAUGCAGUGCUGCAGGGAAGCCGUUAAGUUUGCCGCCUGGGAAGUACGUACGCAAGUAUGAAACUUAAAGGAAUUGGCGGGGGAGCACCACAAGGGGUGAAGCCUGCGGUUCAAUUGGAUUCAACGCCGGG